GAUGAACGCUGGCGGCGUGCCUAAUACAUGCAAGUCGAGCGAACAGACGAGGAGCUUGCUCCUCUGACGUUAGCGGCGGACGGGUGAGUAACACGUGGAUAACCUACCUAUAAGACUGGGAUAACUUCGGGAAACCGGAGCUAAUACCGGAUAAUAUAUUGAACCGCAUGGUUCAAUAGUGAAAGACGGUUUUGCUGUCACUUAUAGAUGGAUCCGCGCCGCAUUAGCUAGUUGGUAAGGUAACGGCUUACCAAGGCAACGAUGCGUAGCCGACCUGAGAGGGUGAUCGGCCACACUGGAACUGAGACACGGUCCAGACUCCUACGGGAGGCAGCAGUAGGGAAUCUUCCGCAAUGGGCGAAAGCUUGACGGAGCAACGCCGCGUGAGUGAUGAAGGUCUGCGGAUCGUAAAACUCUGUUAUUAGGGAAGAACAAAUGUGUAAGUAACGAUGCACGUCUUGACGGUACCUAAGCAGAAAGCCACGGCUAACUACGU
rnacentral:rRNA from 1 species